AAGCGUGCGCAGGCGGUUUUGUAAGUCAGAUGUGAAAUCCCCGAGCUCAACUUGGGAACUGCGUUUGAAACUACAAGACUAGAAUAUGUCAGAGGGGGGUAGAAUUCCACGUGUAGCAGUGAAAUGCGUAGAGAUGUGGAGGAAUACCAAUGGCGAAGGCAGCCCCCUGGGAUAAUAUUGACGCUCAUGCACGAAAGCGUGGGGAGCAAACAGGAUUAGAUACUGUGGUAGUCCACGCCCUAAACGAUGUCUACUAGUUGUUGGUGGAGUAAAAUCCAUGAGUAACGCAGCUAACGCGUGAAGUAGACCGCCUGGGGAGUACGGUCGCAAGAUUAAAACUCAAAUGAAUUGACGGGGGCCCGCACAAGCGGUGGAUUAUGUGGAUUAAUUCGAUGCAACGCGAAAAACCUUACCUGGCCUUGACAUGUAACGAACUUUCCAGAGAUGGAUUGGUGCUCGAAAGAGAGCGUUAACACAGGUGCUGCAUGGCUGUCGUCAGCUCGUGUCGUGAGAUGUUGGGUUAAGUCCCGCAACGAGCGCAACCCUUGCCAUUAAUUGCCAUCAUUUAGUUGGGCACUUUAAUGGGACUGCCGGUGACAAACCGGAGGAAGGUGGGGAUGACGUCAAG
rnacentral:rRNA from 1 species